rnacentral:rRNA from 1 species
UAGGGAAUCUUCGGCAAUGGACGGAAGUCUGACCGAGCAACGCCGCGUGAGUGAAGAAGGUUUUCGGAUCGUAAAGCUCUGUUGUAAGAGAAGAACGAGUGUGAGAGUGGAAAGUUCACACUGUGACGGUAUCUUACCAGAAAGGGACGGCUAACUACGUGCCAGCAGCCGCGGUAAUACGUAGGUCCCGAGCGUUGUCCGGAUUUAUUGGGCGUAAAGCGAGCGCAGGCGGUUAGAUAAGUCUGAAGUUAAAGGCUGUGGCUUAACCAUAGUAGGCUUUGGAAACUGUUUAACUUGAGUGCAAGAGGGGAGAGUGGAAUUCCAUGUGUAGCGGUGAAAUGCGUAGAUAUAUGGAGGAACACCGGUGGCGAAAGCGGCUCCCUGGCUUGUAACUGACGCUGAGGCUCGAAAGCGUAGGGAGCAAACAGGAUUAGAUACCCUGGUAGUCCACGCUGUAAACGAUGAGUGCUAGGUGUUAGACCCUUUCCGGGGUUUAGUGCCGUAGCUAACGCAUUAAGCACUCCGCCUGGGGAGUACGACCGCAAGGUUG